CCUACGGGGGGCAGCAGUGGGGAAUAUUGGACAAUGGGCGAAAGCCUGAUCCAGCCAUGCCGCGUGUGUGAAGAAGGCCUUCGGGUUGUAAAGCACUUUCAGUGGGGAAGAAAGCCUUGGGGCUAAUACCCUCGAGGAAGGACAUCACCCACAGAAGAAGCACCGGCUAACUCCGUGCCAGCAGCCGCGGUAAUACGGAGGGUGCGAGCGUUAAUCGGAAUUACUGGGCGUAAAGCGCGCGUAGGCGGUCUGAUAAGCCGGUUGUGAAAGCCCCGGGCUCAACCUGGGAACGGCAUCCGGAACUGUCAGGCUAGAGUGCAGGAGAGGAAGGUAGAAUUCCCGGUGUAGCGGUGAAAUGCGUAGAGAUCGGGGGGAAUACCAGUGGCGAAGGCGGCCUUCUGGACUGACACUGACGCUGAGGUGCGAAAGCGUGGGUAGCAAACAGGAUUAGAUACCCCGGUAGUC
rnacentral:rRNA from 1 species